rnacentral:rRNA from 1 species
ACCACGGGUAUGCCCUAGUACGGCGAGUGAAGCGGCAACAGCUCAAAUUUGAAAUCUGGCUCUUUCAGAGUCCGAGUUGUAAUUUGCAGAGGGCGCUUUGGCUUUGGCAGCGGUCCAAGUUCCUUGGAACAGGACGUCACAGAGGGUGAGAAUCCCGUACGUGGUCGCUAGCUAUUGCCGUGUAAAGCCCCUUCGACGAGUCGAGUUGUUUGGGAAUGCAGCUCUAAAUGGGAGGUAAAUUUCUUCUAAAGCUAAAUAUUGGCCAGAGACCGAUAGCGCACAAGUAGAGUGAUCGAAAGAUGAAAAGCACUUUGGAAAGAGAGUCAAACAGCACGUGAAAUUGUUGAAAGGGAAGCGCUUGCAGCCAGACUUGCUUGCAGUUGCUCAUCCGGGCUUUUGCCCGGUGCACUCUUCUGCAGGCAGGCCAGCAUCAGUUUGGGCGGUGGGAUAAAGGUCUCUGACACGUUCCUUCCUUCGGGUUGGCCAUAUAGGGGAGACGUCAUACCACCAGCCUGGACUGAGGUCCGCGCAUCUGCUAGGAUGCUGGCGUAAUGGCUGUAAGCGGCCCGUCUUGAAACG